rnacentral:rRNA from 1 species
GGGUUGUGAGGUUAAGCGACUAAGCGUACACGGUGGAUGCCCUGGCAGUCAGAGGCGAUGAAGGACGUGCUAAUCUGCGAUAAGCGUCGGUAAGGUGAUAUGAACCGUUAUAACCGGCGAUUUCCGAAUGGGGAAACCCAGUGUGAUUCGUCACACUAUCAUUAACUGAAUCCAUAGGUUAAUGAGGCGAACCGGGGGAACUGAAACAUCUAAGUACCCCGAGGAAAAGAAAUCAACCGAGAUUCCCCCAGUAGCGGCGAGCGAACGGGGAGGAGCCCAGAGCCUGAAUCAGUGUGUGUGUUAGUGGAAGCGUCUGGAAAGGCGCGCGAUACAGGGUGACAGCCCCGUACACAAAAAUGCACAUGCUGUGAGCUCGAUGAGUAGGGCGGGACACGUGGUAUCCUGUCUGAAUAUGGGGGGACCAUCCUCCAAGGCUAAAUACUCCUGACUGACCGAUAGUGAACCAGUACCGUGAGGGAAAGGCGAAAAGAACCCCGGCGAGGGGAGUGAAAAAGAACCUGAAACCGUGUACGUACAAGCAGUGGGAGCCUCUUUAUGGGGUGACUGCGUACCUUUUGUAUAAUGGGUCAGCGACUUAUAUUCUGUAGCAAGGUUAACCGAAUAGGGGAGCCGAAGGGAAACCGAGUCUUAACUGGGCGUUAAGUUGCAGGGUAUAGACCCGAAACCCGGUGAUCUAGCCAUGGGCAGGUUGAAGGUUGGGUAACACUAACUGGAGGACCGAACCGACUAAUGUUGAAAAAUUAGCGGAUGACUUGUGGCUGGGGGUGAAAGGCCAAUCAAACCGGGAGAUAGCUGGUUCUCCCCGAAAGCUAUUUAGGUAGCGCCUCGUGAAUUCAUCUCCGGGGGUAGAGCACUGUUUCGGCAAGGGGGUCAUCCCGACUUACCAACCCGAUGCAAACUGCGAAUACCGGAGAAUGUUAUCACGGGAGACACACGGCGGGUGCUAACGUCCGUCGUGAAGAGGGAAACAACCCAGACCGCCAGCUAAGGUCCCAAAGUCAUGGUUAAGUGGGAAACGAUGUGGGAAGGCCCAGACAGCCAGGAUGUUGGCUUAGAAGCAGCCAUCAUUUAAAGAAAGCGUAAUAGCUCACUGGUCGAGUCGGCCUGCGCGGAAGAUGUAACGGGGCUAAACCAUGCACCGAAGCUGCGGCAGCGACGCUUAUGCGUUGUUGGGUAGGGGAGCGUUCUGUAAGCCUGCGAAGGUGUACUGUGAGGUAUGCUGGAGGUAUCAGAAGUGCGAAUGCUGACAUAAGUAACGAUAAAGCGGGUGAAAAGCCCGCUCGCCGGAAGACCAAGGGUUCCUGUCCAACGUUAAUCGGGGCAGGGUGAGUCGACCCCUAAGGCGAGGCCGAAAGGCGUAGUCGAUGGGAAACAGGUUAAUAUUCCUGUACUUGGUGUUACUGCGAAGGGGGGACGGAGAAGGCUAUGUUGGCCGGGCGACGGUUGUCCCGGUUUAAGCGUGUAGGCUGGUUUUCCAGGCAAAUCCGGAAAAUCAAGGCUGAGGCGUGAUGACGAGGCACUACGGUGCUGAAGCAACAAAUGCCCUGCUUCCAGGAAAAGCCUCUAAGCAUCAGGUAACAUCAAAUCGUACCCCAAACCGACACAGGUGGUCAGGUAGAGAAUACCAAGGCGCUUGAGAGAACUCGGGUGAAGGAACUAGGCAAAAUGGUGCCGUAACUUCGGGAGAAGGCACGCUGAUAUGUAGGUGAAGCGACUUGCUCGUGGAGCUGAAAUCAGUCGAAGAUACCAGCUGGCUGCAACUGUUUAUUAAAAACACAGCACUGUGCAAACACGAAAGUGGACGUAUACGGUGUGACGCCUGCCCGGUGCCGGAAGGUUAAUUGAUGGGGUUAGCGGUAACGCGAAGCUCUUGAUCGAAGCCCCGGUAAACGGCGGCCGUAACUAUAACGGUCCUAAGGUAGCGAAAUUCCUUGUCGGGUAAGUUCCGACCUGCACGAAUGGCGUAAUGAUGGCCAGGCUGUCUCCACCCGAGACUCAGUGAAAUUGAACUCGCUGUGAAGAUGCAGUGUACCCGCGGCAAGACGGAAAGACCCCGUGAACCUUUUACUAUAGCUUGACACUGAACAUUGAGCCUUGAUGUGUAGGAUAGGUGGGAGGCUUUGAAGUGUGGACGCCAGUCUGCAUGGAGCCGACCUUGAAAUACCACCCUUUAAUGUUUGAUGUUCUAACGUAGGCCCCUUAUCGGGGUUGCGGACAGUGUCUGGUGGGUAGUUUGACUGGGGCGGUCUCCUCCUAAAGAGUAACGGAGGAGCACGAAGGUUUGGCUAAUCCUGGUCGGACAUCAGGAGGUUAGUGCAAUGGCAUAAGCCAGCUUGACUGCGAGCGUGACGGCGCGAGCAGGUGCGAAAGCAGGUCAUAGUGAUCCGGUGGUUCUGAAUGGAAGGGCCAUCGCUCAACGGAUAAAAGGUACUCCGGGGAUAACAGGCUGAUACCGCCCAAGAGUUCAUAUCGACGGCGGUGUUUGGCACCUUCGAUGUCGGCUCAUCACAUCCUGGGGCUGAAGUAGGUCCCAAGGGUAUGGCUGUUCGCCAUUUAAAGUGGUACGGCGAGCUGGGUUUAGAACGUCGUGAGACAGUUCGGUCCCUAUCUGCCGUGGGCUGGAGAACUGAGGGCUGCUCCUAGUACGAGAGGACCGGAGUGGACGCAUCACUGGUGUUCGGGUUGUCAUGCCAAUGGCACUGCCCGGUAGC